UUGCCCUAGUAACGGCGAGUGAAGCGGCAACAGCUCAAAUUUGAAAGCUAGCCUUCGGGUUCGCAUUGUAAUUUGUAGAGGAUGAUUUGGGGAAGCCGCCUGUCUAAGUUCCUUGGAACAGGACGUCAUAGAGGGUGAGAAUCCCGUAUGUGACAGGAAAUGGCACCCUAUGUAAAUCUCCUUCGACGAGUCGAGUUGUUUGGGAAUGCAGCUCUAAAUGGGAGGUAAAUUUCUUCUAAAGCUAAAUAUUGGCGAGAGACCGAUAGCGCACAAGUAGAGUGAUCGAAAGAUGAAAAGCACUUUGGAAAGAGAGUUAAAAAGCACGUGAAAUUGUUGAAAGGGAAGCGCUUGCAAUCAGACUUGUUUAAACUGUUCGGCCGGUCUUCUGACCGGUUUACUCAGUUUGGACAGGCCAGCAUCAGUUUCGGCGGCCGGAUAAAGGCUCUGGGAAUGUGGCCUCCACUUCGGUGGAGGUGUUAUAGCCCAGGGUGUAAUACGGCCAGCCGGGACUGAGGUCCGCGCUUCGGCUAGGAUGCUGGCGUAAUGGUUGUAA
rnacentral:rRNA from 1 species